GUGCCAGCAGCCGCGGUAAUACGUAGGUGGCAAGCGUUAUCCGGAAUUAUUGGGCGUAAAGCGCGCGUAGGCGGUUUUUUAAGUCUGAUGUGAAAGCCCACGGCUCAACCGUGGAGGGUCAUUGGAAACUGGAAAACUUGAGUGCAGAAGAGGAAAGUGGAAUUCCAUGUGUAGCGGUGAAAUGCGCAGAGAUAUGGAGGAACACCAGUGGCGCAGGCGACUUUCUGGUCUGUAACUGACGCUGAUGUGCGAAAGCGUGGGGAUCAAACAGGAU
rnacentral:rRNA from 1 species